UGGCUCAGUGGUAGAGUGCUUGCCUAGCAUGCAUGAGGCCCUGAGUUCAAUUCCUCAG
rnacentral:tRNA from 1 species